CCAAUGUCUUAUCAUGGCUUGUUAACUGUUAAAAUAAAUUAUUUUCUCACAUCUACCUCAUCAUUAUCAAUAUCUGUCUUCAUUGCUUUGUGGAAAUUUAGCAUUCUUCGUCGGAAUUGCCAUUAUUCAUUAUUCAAAUUUUUUCCGUUUUUUUUAAUUUACAUUUUAGAUUCACAUUUUACAGUAACAUUUUCAAUGAUUUACAAUUACGAAAGAAGGAUCCUGCACUUUGGGGAACUGGUCAGCGGCAGCAAAGACAAGUGCAAGUACGUCGUGUACUGUAACACUGCAGAAACAAUUAAACUGAUUUGUUAGUUAUUGCACGAAAAUGAAGAAAAUUAAUUCUCGUUUCAAGAUUUCGCAUUAAAUUCGCGUCAAUUUCGUCAAUUUCCUGAGAUUUCCUAAUUUUCAUGAGAUUUCCUUAGAUUUUUUCUUAUCCUGAGAAUUUCCUUUUUAGCUCAGGAUUUUCUGAGAAUCAGGAAAUUUCCUUAGAAAUGGAAGCACUGUACAUAAUAAACCUCAACUUUUACUGGGUUUUUUCUUAAAUGUGAUUUAGGUUUAUCGUUUAUAGCAGUAAUAUUUUAAGGCUCCCUCCUUAAAAUAUAUUUUUGUUUGCUUCGAGAUCUCCCGCCCGCUUGGAGUUUGUAUCUUGAGUGGGGUUGCAUGAAUACUAAAACAGAUAAACCACUCGGCCUAGUUGUCUAUAGCGAAUAGUUAACUCAGGCUACGACUUCGUUAACUAUUCGCUCGUAGAUAACUCGCACUCGUUGGCUAAUUGUUGUUUAUAUACCCAAAGACAAAUUUAUUAAAAUUUUGCUUAAAUUUUUAUCCCAUACUUGUGUCAAAAGCGGCUUUCUGAUUGGUUUAGAGCAGGUGAGCUUGUCGUCGAGCUCACCCGCUUUUUGUGCGAAGUCACCUGCCUUUCGUCAAACUCACCAGCGAAACUGCUUACGUUGCAAUAACUAUCAAAUAUGGCGGACAAGAUUUAUAGCCGAUAAACCUAAACUUUAAAGAACUUUUU
rnacentral:lncRNA from 1 species